rnacentral:rRNA from 1 species
AGUAACGGCGAGUGAAGCGGCAAUAGCUCAAAUUUGAAAUCUGGCUCCUUUGGGGCCCGAGUUGUAAUUUGGAGAGGGUGCUUUGGUGUCGGCAGCAGCCUAAGUUCCUUGGAACAGGUCAUCAUAGAGGGUGAGAAUCCCGUAUGUGGCUGAUUGUCUUCACCGUGUAAAGCCCCUUCGACGAGUCGAGUUGUUUGGGAAUGCAGCUCUAAAUGGGAGGUAAAUUUCUUCUAAAGCUAAAUACUGGCCAGAGACCGAUAGCGCACAAGUAGAGUGAUCGAAAGAUGAAAAGCACUUUGGAAAGAGAGUCAAAAAGCACGUGAAAUUGUUGAAAGGGAAGCGCUUGCAGCCAGACGUGCCUGUAGUUGCUCAUCUGGGGAUUUCCCCAGUGCACUCUUCUAUAGGCAGGCCAGCAUCAGUCCGGGCGGUUGGAGAAAGGCCUGUGUCACGUAGCUGCUUUCGGGCAGUGUUAUAGGGCAGGUGGAAUACGACCAGCCUGGACUGAGGUCCGCGCAUCUGCUAGGAUGCUGGCGUAAUGGCUGUAAGCGGCCCGUCUUGAAACACGGACCAAGGAGUCUAACAUCUAUGCGAGUGUUUGGGUGUCAAGCCCGAGCGCGCAAUGAAAGUGAACGGAGGUGGGAACCCUUGGGUGCACCAUCGACCGAUCCUGAUGUCUUCGGAUGGAUUUGAGUAAGAGCAUAGCUGUUGGGACCCGAAAGAUGGUGAACUAUGCCUGAAUAGGGUGAAGCCAGAGGAAACUCUGGUGGAGGCUCGCAGCGGUUCUGACGUGCAAAUCGAUCGUCAAAUUUGGGCAUAGGGGCGAAAGACUAAUCGAACUAUCUAGUAGCUG